rnacentral:tRNA from 1 species
UCCCAUGUGGUCUAGUGGUUAGGAUUCCGCUCUCACCAGGCGGCCCGGGUUCGAUUCCCGGCGGGGGAA